rnacentral:rRNA from 1 species
UACAGAGGUCUCAAGCGUUGUUCGGAUUCAUUGGGCGUAAAGGGUGCGUAGGCGGCGCGGUAAGUCGGGUGUGAAAUUCGCGGGCUUAACUCCGAAACUGCAUUCGAUACUGCCGUGCUUCGAGGACUGGAGAGGAGACUGGAAUUUACGGUGUAGCGGUGAAAUGCGUAGAUAUCGUAAGGAAGACCAGUGGCGAAGGCGGGUCUCUGGACAGUUCCUGACGCUGAGGCACGAAGGUCAGGGGGAGCAAACGGG